GACGAACGCUGGCGGCGUGCUUAACACAUGCAAGUCGAACGGAAAGGCUCCAGCUUGCUGGCGUACUCGAGUGGCGAACGGGUGAGUAACACGUGGGUAAUCUGCCCUUCACUCUGGGAUAAGCCUGGGAAACUGGGUCUCAUACUGGAUAUGACCUUUCUCCUCAUGGGGUUUUGUGGAAAGUUUUUCGGUUUCGCAUGAGCCCGAGGGCUAUCCGCUUGUUGGUGGGGUUAUGGCCUUCCAAGGCGACGAAGGGUAGCCGGCCUGAGAGGGUGACCGGCCACAUUGGGACUGAGAUACGGGCCAGACUGCUACGGGAGGCAGCAGUGGGGAAUAUUGCAAAAUGGGCGGAAGCCUGAUGCAGCGACGCCGCGUGGGGGAUGACGGCCUUCGGGUUGUAAACCGCUUUCGGCAGGGACGAAGCGUAAGUGACGGUAACUGCAGAAGAAGCACCGGCUAACUACGUG
rnacentral:rRNA from 1 species